CCAACGGCUCUUUUAAGAGCCACCCACAUCUAUCUGAAGAGUCAA
rfam:Xiphophorus maculatus strain JP 163 A Contig433.9, whole genome shotgun sequence.